ACAAAACAGAAAAAAAGCAUCGGGCUCGUUGGCAGAGCACCGACCAAGGGCAAAACAAAACAAAAACACAGCCGAGGGGGUUGCUGCUGUUUCAGACAAGCAAAAAAAGAAUGCCGGAUCGACGUCGAGCGACCAGGUCGCGAGGCCGAGGGAUCCAGGCGACUCGCGGGAGGGUUUUUCAACUCUCCUGCGCCUUGGGCCGUCGAAGCACCCAAAUUUUUGGUUGGGGGCUCCGUCGCCUUAAGUAAUGACGAGCUCGACCGCGACUCCGGGCUUACUUGGAACGGUGGGUCGCAAAAACAAAACAAAAGCACUCGGCAUCGUCGGGAGGUUGGCCUCGACGUUAUAAGCACCCGAGUAUGUACUUUCUCACGUAUACCGAUAGUUUGUUUCUUGAAAAAACAAAACCCGGGUGCGGAGAACCUGGGGGUCGGCCGGCGUACCUCGUUGCGCGCCGCGACCGACCGAAUUGGCAUCUAUUACUAUUAUUUUGA
rnacentral:misc_RNA from 1 species